rnacentral:rRNA from 1 species
GUAGGUGGCGAGCGUUAUCCGGAAUUAUUGGGCGUAAAGAGGGAGCAGGCGGCACUAAGGGUCUGUGGUGAAAGAUCGAAGCUUAACUUCGGUAAGCCAUGGAAACCGUAGAGCUAGAGUGUGUGAGAGGAUCGUGGAAUUCCAUGUGUAGCGGUGAAAUGCGUAGAUAUAUGGAGGAACACCAGUGGCGAAGGCGACGAUCUGGCGCAUAACUGACGCUCAGUCCCGAAAGCGUGGGGAGCAAAUAGGAUUAGAUACCCUAGUAGUCCACGCCGUAAACGAUGAGUACUAAGUGUUGGGAGUCAAAUCUCGGUGCUGCAGUUAACGCAAUAAGUACUCCGCCUGAGUAGU